rnacentral:rRNA from 1 species
AUUGAACGCUGGCGGCAGGCUUAACACAUGCAAGUCGAGCGAGCGGCGGACGGGUGAGUAAUGUCUGGGAAACUGCCUGAUGGAAGGGGAUAACUACUGGAAACGGUAGCUAAUACCGCAUACCAUCAGAUGUGCCCAGAUUGCAUUAGCUAGUAGGUGGGGUAAUGGCUCACCUAGGCGCCGCUCCCUAGCUGGUCUGAGAGGAUGACCAGCCACACGGGAAAUGGGACACGGUCCAGACUCCAACGGGAGGCACCAGUGGGGAAUCUUGCACAAUGGGCGCAAGCCUGAUGCAGUCAUGCACGUUGUGUGAAGAAGGCCUCCGGGUGGUAAAGCAAUUUCAGCGAGGAGGCGUUACUCGCAGAAGAAGCACCGGCUAACUCCGUGCCAGCAGCCGCGGUAAUAC